UCAGUGUAUGUCAGACUUCCAAGAAAAGCUUGCAAUGUCAUAAAUAAAUAAUGCCUGUACCAUAACCGACACAGGUGGGUAGGCAGAGUAUGCUAAGGGGCGCGAGAUAACUCUCUCUAAGGAACCCGGCAAAAUGACUCCGUAACUUCGGGAGAAGGAGUGCCUUAUUUAUAAGGUUGCAAUAACAAGAUCCAAGCAACUGUUUACCAAAAACACAGGUCUCCGCUAAGUCGUAAGACGAUGUAUGGGGGCUGACGCCUGCCCAGUGCCAGAAGGUUAAAGAAGUUGGUUAGCAUUUGCGAAGCUGAUAACUGAAGCCCUGGUGAACGGCGGCCGUAACUAUAACGGUCCUAAGGUAGCGAAAUUCCUUGUCGGGUAAGUUCCGACCCGCACGAAAGGCGUAAUGAUUUGGAUACUGUCUCAGAGAGGGGCUCGGUGAAAUAGACUUGUCUGUGAAGAUGCGGACUACCUGCACCUGGACAGAAAGACCCUAUGAAGCUUUACUGUAACUUGAAAUUGAAAUUGGACUUUAUUUGCGCAGUAUAGGUGGGAGGCGUUGAGUUUAUUCUUGCGGGAAUUUAGGAGCCAUCAGUGAGAUACCACUCUGGUAAUGUUAGAUUUCUAACUUUGGAUCAUAAUCUGGUUAAAGAACAGUUUCAGGCGGGCAGUUUGACUGGGGCGGUCGCCUCCUAAAUGGUAACGGAGGCGUACAAAGGUUUCCUCUGAACGUGUAGAAAUCGUAUCUAGAGUGUAAAGGCAUAAGGAAGCUUGACUGUGAGACUUACAAGUCGAGCAGGGACGAAAGUCGGUCUUAGUGAUCUGACGGUGCUGAGUGGAAAGGCCGUCACUCAACGGAUAAAAGUUACUCUAAGGAUAACAGGCUGAUCUCCCCCAAGAGUUCACAUCGACGGGGAGGUUUGGCACCUCGAUGUCGGCUCAUCGCAUCCUGGGGCGGUAGUACGUCCCAAGGGUUGGGCUGUUCGCCCAUGAAAGCGGUACGCGAGCUGGGUUCAGAACGUCGUGAGACAGUUCGGUCCAUAUCCGGUGUAGGCGCUAGAAUAUUGAGAGGAGCCUUCUUUAGUACGAGAGGACCGAGAAGGACAUACCUCUGGUGUACCAGUUAUCGUGCCAACGGUAAACGCUGGGUAGCUAUGUAUGGAGAGGAUAACCGCUGAAAGCACCUAAGUGGGAAGCCCACCUCAAGAUAAG
rnacentral:rRNA from 1 species